GAUGAACGCUAGCGGCAGGCCUAAUACAUGCAAGUCAAGGGCUGUUUGGUGUAGCAAUACAUCAAACAACCGGCGGACGGGUGCGUAACGCGUAUGCCACCUACCCUAUACAGGAGGAUAGCCCUCGGAAACGAGGAUUAAUACUCCAUAAGCUUGCUUAGAGGCAUCUUUAAGCAAUUAAAGCCGCACGGCGGUCUAGGAUGGGCGUGCGUCCGAUUAUCUGGUUGGUGAGGUAACGGCUCACCAAGGCGAUGAUCGGGAGGGGUUAUGAGAGGAAGAUCCCCUAGACGGGAAAUGAGGCCCAGGCCCGAAUCGUAGGGGAGGCAGGAGUAAGGAAUAUAGGGGAAUGGAUGAAAGCCUGAUCCAGCCGUGCCGCUGGCAGAAAGAAGGGCGUAGGGAUGGUAAACUGCUGUUGAGGAAAAGAAGUAGGGGAGAUGCGUCGCGUGAUGAUGGUACUUCUAGAAUAAGCAUCGGCUAACUUCGUG
rnacentral:rRNA from 1 species